UACGUAGGGUGCGAGCGUUGCCCGGAUUUAUUGGGCGUAAAGGGCGCGUAGGCGGCUCGGCACGUCCGUUGUGAAAUCGCCCGGCUCAACUGGGCGGGGUCGGCGGAUACGGCCGAGCUGGAGCAAGCUAGGGGGUAAUGGAAUUCCCGGUGUAGUGGUGGAAUGCGUAGAUAUCUGGAGGAACACCGGUGGCGAAGGCGGCAUCCUGGACCAAUUCUGACGCGUGAGGAGACGCAAAGGCCAGGGAGCAAGCGG
rnacentral:rRNA from 1 species